rnacentral:rRNA from 1 species
AACGAACGCUGGCGGCAUGCCUAACACAUGCAAGUCGAACGAGACCUUCGGGUCUAGUGGCGCACGGGUGCGUAACGCGGGGGAACCUGCCCUUAGGUUCGGAAUAACUCCCCGAAAGGGGUGCUAAUACCGGAUAAUUUCUUCGGACCAAAGAUUUAUCGCCUUUGGAUGGGCCCGCGUUGGAUUAGCUAGGUGGUAGGGUAAAAGCCUACCAAGGCGACGAUCCAUAGCUGGUCUGAGAGGAUGAUCAGCCACACUGGGACUGAGACACGGCCCAGACUCCUACGGGAGGCAGCAGUGGGGAAUAUUGGACAAUGGGCGAAAGCCUGAUCCAGCAAUGCCGCGUGAGUGAUGAAGGCCUUAGGGUUGUAAAGCUCUUUUACCCGGGAUGAUAAUGACAGUACCGGGAGAAUAAGCUCCGGCUAACUCCGUG